rnacentral:rRNA from 1 species
UACGGGGGGGGCAAGCGUUGUUCGGAAUUACUGGGCGUAAAGGGUUUGUAGGUGGCCUGCUAAGUCAGACGUGAAAUCCCUCAGCUUAACUGGGGAACUGCGUCUGAUACUGGCGGGCUUGAGGACAGGAGAGGAACGCGGAAUUCCAGGUGUAGCGGUGAAAUGCGUAGAUAUCUGGAGGAACACCGGUGGCGAAGGCGGCGUUCUGGACUGUUUCUGACACUGAAAAACGAAAGCCAGGGGAGCAAACGGG